rnacentral:rRNA from 1 species
GAAGGCGGCCUUCUGGACAGUACUGACGCUGAGAUGCGAAAGCGUGGGGAGCAAACAGGAUUAGAUACCCUGGUAGUCCACGCUGUAAACGAUGUCGAUUUGGAGUUUGUUGCCUAGAGUGAUGGGCUCCGAAGCUAACGCGAUAAAUCGACCGCCUGGGGAGUACGGCCGCAAGGUUAAAACUCAAAUGAAUUGACGGGGGCCCGCACAAGCGGUGGAGCAUGUGGUUUAAUUCGAUGCAACGCGAAGAACCUUACCUGGUCUUGACAUCCAUAGAAUUCUGCAGAGAUGUGGGAGUGCCUUCGGGAACUAUGAGACAGGUGCUGCAUGGCUGUCGUCAGCUCGUGUUGUGAAAUGUUGGGUUAAGUCCCGCAACGAGCGCAACCCUUAUUCUUUGUUGCCAGCGAUUUGGUCGGGAACUCAAAGGAGACUGCCGUUGAUAAAGCGGAGGAAGGUGGGGACGACGUCAAGUCAUCAUGGCCCUUACGACCAGGGCUACACACGUGCUACAAUGGCGUAUACAAAGGGAAGCGAAGGUGCGAGCUGGAGCGGAUCUCAUAAAGUACGUCUAAGUUCGGAUUGGAGUCUGCAACUCGACUCCAUGAAGUCGGAAUCGCUAGUAAUCGUAGAUCAGAAUGCUACGGUGAAUACGUUCCCGGGCCUUGUACACACCGCCCGUCACACCAUGGGAGUGGGUUGCACCAGAAGUAGAUAGCUUAACCGCGAGGGGGGCGUUUACCACGGUGUGAUUCAUGACUGGGGUGAAGUCGUAACAAGGUAACCA